rnacentral:rRNA from 1 species
AUUGAACGCUGGCGGCAUGCUUUACACAUGCAAGUCGAACGGCAGCGCGGGCUUCGGCCUGGCGGCGAGUGGCGAACGGGUGAGUAAUGCAUCGGAACGUGCCCAGUAGUGGGGGAUAGCCCGGCGAAAGCCGGAUUAAUACCGCAUACGACCUGAGGGUGAAAGCGGGGGACCGAAAGGCCUCGCGCUAUUGGAGCGGCCGAUGUCGGAUUAGCUAGUUGGUGGGGUAAAGGCUUACCAAGGCGACGAUCCGUAGCUGGUCUGAGAGGACGACCAGCCACACUGGAACUGAGACACGGCCCAGACUCCUACGGGAGGCAGCAGUGGGGAAUUUUGGACAAUGGGGGCAAGCCUGAUCCAGCCAUGCCGCGUGCGGGAAGAAGGCCUUCGGGUUGUAAAGCGCUUUUGUUCGGGAAGAAAUCCUCUGGGCUAAUACCCCGGGGGGAUGACGGUACCGGAAGAAUAAGCACCGGCUAACUACGUG